AUUGAACGCUGGCGGCAGGCCUAACACAUGCAAGUCGAACGAGUGGCGGACGGGUGAGUAAUGUUUGGGAAUCUAGCUUAUGGAGGGGGAUAACUACGGGAAACGGUAGCUAAUACCGCGUACCAUAGGAUGAGCCCAAGUGGGAUUAGUGUGUUGGUGGGGUAACGGCUCACCAAGGCGACGAUCUCUAGCUGGUCUGAGAGGAUGACCAGCCACACUGGCACUGAGACACGGUCCAGACGCCGACGGGAGGCAGCAGUGGGGAAUAUUGCACAAUGGGCGCAAGCCUGACGCAGCCAUGCCGCGUGUAUGAAGAAGGCCUUCGGGUUGUAAAGUACUUUCAGUGGGGAGGCGUUAACUGCAGAAGAAGCACCGGCUAACUCCGUGCCAGCAGCCGCGGUAAUUC
rnacentral:rRNA from 1 species